rnacentral:rRNA from 1 species
UACGGAGGAUGCAAGCGUUAUCCGGAAUGAUUGGGCGUAAAGGGUCCGCAAGUGGCAAUGUGUGUCUGCUGUCAAAGAAUGAGGCUUAACCUCAUCAAGGCAGUGGAAACUACAUAGCUAGAGUACGGUCGGGGUAGAAGGAAUUCCUGGUGUAGCGGUGAAAUGCGUAGAGAUCAGGAAGAACACCGGUGGCGAAAGCGUUCUGCUAGACCUGUACUGACACUGAGGGACGAAAGCUAGGGGAGCGAAUGGG